ACGAGAGGCAUCCGACGGUACAUCGGCAUGAGUUCUGCCUUCGCCAUUCAGCAUUCCCAUAUCGCCAGCCAGCCGGUGCAGGCACCGCCGCCAGGGUACAUGAUCCUGACCGUCGUCGGCUCCGGCGUCUCUACUGGUGUACCGGUCAUUGGGCACCUAGGGCUCGGCUGCGCAUGCGAGCACGCCGUCGCUGACCCAAGCGGGCCCAACUGUCGCAACAACAUCAGCCUCCUCAUCACGCUUCCCCGCUGCGACCUUCCCGACUUGCCAGUGGCGCAAACGGGGUCGACGACGGCGGCAGGCACAAAGGAUUCCGAGAACGACGGCGGAAAUAGUCGCGGCGGCGGCGCUGCCGGCGCCGCAUCGGCAACGGCGUUCCGCCCGUCACACUCGUUCUUUGCAGCGGAGCGCGCCGGCAACUACAUUGGCACAAAGCCUGUUGCGCACAUUCUCAUUGACUGCGGCAAGACGUUCCGUGACGCGUACUUCAAGGUAAUGAUCCGGUGCAACAUCCGCACUGUGGACACGCUGCUGCUGACGCACGGGCAUGCGGACGCGGUGGCCGGCCUCGACGACCUUCGUGAUCUACAAACGAUGCACAUGGUCUCCACUGGGGACUGGGUGAUCGACAGUUUUGUGCCUACCUACCUCUCCCCCAGCACGCUGAAGACGCUGGAAAAGUCGGUUGACUACAUUAUUCGAAACAGCGUGAAGAGCGGGCACGCAAUGUCGACGCCAUCGGAGCACGCCGCGCAGCUUGCCGAGCGUCAGCAGCAACGCGAAGCGCAGGCGGUGGCCAACGGCACGGCGCACAAGGAGGGCGGCUGGCGCAAUAUUGGCAUCCGCCGCAGCACAGCGCUAGACCUCUUCUGCAUGGAUGAAGAGCGGCCGCUGAGAAUGCAUCUCCCCAUCACCGCCACCGCGGCGACGGCGGGCGGCACCGACGCCGCGAGUGACCUGCCCUUCUACUCCUUCCCAGUGGAGCACGGAAAGGGCUACGUCUCCAUGGCGUGGGUGUUCGGCCGUGGCACCGCCUUCAAGAGCCGGCAAACACAGCAGCAGGGGCAGCAGCAGGAGGAGGGGAGCUGCGUCGUGUACAUCUCAGACGUGAGCCACAUUCCGGCGACCUCGAUGGCGUUCCUGCAAGACCUCGUGAAGAUCGAUGUCCUUUUCGUGGACUGCCUCUCCCCAAGUGGGCGCGUGAGUCCCGUCCACUACUGCGAGGAUGGCAUGAUGGAUCUGGUCGUGGCCCUGAAGCCUCGACACGUUUUUGGUGUCGGCAUGCACUGUGCGCUGGAGCACUUCAAGUGGAUGGCGGAGCUUCAGAAAGCCUUGGGCAGUCAAGUCGCCGCUGGUCAUCUGCGGGCAGGCGAGGUGCAGUGUGUUGAGCUUAGCUAUGAUGGCAUGCAGGUGUUAUUGCCGCAGUGACGGGAGGAGAGGAGAAGAGGGGAACGCCACGCCUCUGCUUGCACAUUGGCAUCUCUUCCCCCCCCAUGUACUCUCCAACUGCAGUGUAUAUGCGUAUGUGUAUCUCGUCGGGCAUACAAUCGUAUUUCUGUGCCACUUUCAGCCAGACAGAGAGAGAGAGCAUGUGUGUGUGGGGGGGGGGGGGGAGGGGGCGACGAGAGUGCGCUCUGUCUUGCUGUGCGGGGACCCUCCCCCCUAGUUUGCCUCCACAGAUGUUCGCGCGCUGGGCUGAUGCAACCCCCUGCACGCUGACGUGCGUUUCCUCCUCCCUCGUAGAGCUUGGUGUGCUUGAAGCCCCACCCCCUCCCGAGACAACGGUUUUUCACCCCUCCCUCCCAG
rnacentral:misc_RNA from 1 species